rnacentral:rRNA from 1 species
UAUAUUAAGACAUGCUUUAUAGUGGGGGAUAGCUUGAUGAAAAUUAAAUUAAUACCGCAUGAAAAUAAUCUAAGGAUUAAAGCAGGGGAUUUGUUAUACAAACCUUGCGCUAUAAAAUUGAUUAAUAUCUGAUUAGUUAGUUGGUUGAGGUAAAAGCUCACCAAGACUAUGAUCGGUAACUGGUCUGAGAGGAUGAUCAGUCACACUGGGACUGAGAUACGGCCCAGACUCCUACGGGAGGCAGCAGUGGGGAAUUUUGGACAAUGAGCGCAAGCUUGAUCCAGCAAUGUCGCGUGUGCGAUGAAGGCUUUAAAAGUUGUAAAGCACUUUUUUUUAGGAAUAAAUAAAUUUAACUAAUAAUUAAAUAAAUGACUGUACUAAAAGAAUAAGUACCGGCUAAUUACGUGCCAGCAGCCGCGGUAAUACGUAAGGUGCUAGCGUUAAUCGGAAUUACUGGGCGUAAAGGGUGCGUAGGCUGUUUAAUAAGA